rnacentral:tRNA from 1 species
ACCAGGAUGACUGAGUGGUUAAAGUGUUUGACUUAAGGUCCAAUUGACAAAUGUCCUCGUUGGUUCAAUCCCCACUCCUGGUA